rnacentral:rRNA from 1 species
UCAAGCGAACAAGGGCGCAGGGCGAAUGCCUUGGCACUAGGAGCCGAUGAAGGACGUGAUAAGCUGCGAUAAGCUUCGGGGAGUUGCACGUAAACUUUGAUCCGAAGAUUUCCGAAUGAGGAAACUCACUUAGAGUAAUGUCUAAGUAUCGUUAAGUGAAUACAUAGCUUAGCGAGGGGAACCCGGGGAACUGAAACAUCUAAGUACCCGGAGGAAGAGAAAGAAAUUCGAUUCCGUAAGUAGCGGCGAGCGAACGCGGAACAGGCCAAACCAAUGAAGUUUACUUCGUUGGGGUUGCGGACAUACAACAUGGAUGCAAUAUCGUAAAUGAAGAGAGUUGGAAAGCUCCGCCAUAGAAGGUAAUAGCCCUGUAGUUGAAACGAGAAAGCUACUAGUAUGAUCCAGAGUACCACGGGACACGUGAAACCCUGUGGGAAGCAGGAGGGACCAUCCUCCAAGCCUAAAUACUACCUAGUGACCGAUAGCGCAUAGUACCGUGAGGGAAAGGUGAAAAGAACCCCGGGAGGGGAGUGAAAUAGAACCUGAAACCCUGCACUUACAAGCUGUGGGAGCACAUUACUUGUGUGACCGCGUACUUUUUGUAGAACGGGCCAACGAGUUACGUUAAGUAGCAAGGUUAAGCACUUAAGGUGUGGAGCCGUAGCGAAAGCGAGUCUUAAAUGGGCGAUUAAGUUACUUGGCGUAGACCCGAAACCGGGCGACCUAUCCAUGAGCAGGUUGAAGCGAAAGUAAAAUUUCGUGGAGGACCGAACCCACGAGCGUUGAAAAGCUCGGGGAUGACUUGUGGAUAGCGGUGAAAUUCCAAUCGAGCCCGGAGAUAGCUGGUUCUCCCCGAAAUAGCUUUAGGGCUAGCCUCAAGCGUAGAGAAACGGAGGUAGAGCACUGAAUGUCCUAGGGGGUAUUGCACUUACCGAAGACUAUCAAACUCCGAAUGCCGUUUUCUUUUACUUGGGAGUCAGACUGUGGGUGAUAAGAUUCAUAGUCAAAAGGGCAACAGCCCAGAUCGUCAGCUAAGGUCCCUAAAUGUACGUUAAGUGGUAAAGGAUGUGGGAUUGCACAGACAACCAGGAUGUUGGCUUAGAAGCAGCCACUCAUUUAAAGAGUGCGUAAUAGCUCACUGGUCGAGUGAUCCUGCGCCGAAAAUUUCCGGGGCUAAAACGUACUACCGAAGCUACGGCAUCAUUUAUGAUGGGUAGGGGAGCUUCGUAUGCAGGCUGAAGCAUGACCGUAAGGACAUGUGGACAGUAUACGAGUGAGAAUGUUGGCAUGAGUAGCGAGACGUGGGUGAGAAUCCCACGGGCCGUAAACCCAAGGUUUCCAGGGGAAGGUUCGUCCGCCCUGGGUUAGUCGGGACCUAAGCCGAGGCCGAAAGGCGUAGGUGAUGGACAACAGGUUGAUAUUCCUGUACCGCCAAUAAGCGUUUGAGAGAUGGAGUGACACAGUAGGAUAAGCUAACCGUACUGUUGGUUAUGUACGGCUAAGCAUUGAGGCAGUCUAAAUAGGCAAAUCCGUUUAGACAAUGCUAGGAUGUGAUGGGGAAGCCCUUCGGGGCGAAGUAGCUGAUUUCACACUGUCAAGAAAAGCUUCUAUCGAGUUUAAAGGCGCCCGUACCGUAAACCGACACAGGUGGGUGAGGAGAGUAUCCUAAGGCCAGCGAGAGAACUAUUGUUAAGGAACUCGGCAAAAUGACCCCGUAACUUAGGGAGAAGGGGUGCCUGUCUAUGACAGGCCGCAGAGAAUAGGCCCAAGCGACUGUUUACCAAAAACACAGGUUUCUGCUAAGUCGCAAGACGAUGUAUAGGAGCUGACGCCUGCCCGGUGCUGGAAGGUUAAGGGGAUCUGUUAGAGCAAUCGAAGCAGUGAACUUAAGCCCCAGUAAACGGCGGCCGUAACUAUAACGGUCCUAAGGUAGCGAAAUUCCUUGUCGGGUAAGUUCC